UACGAAGGGAGCUAGCGUUGUUCGGAAUCACUGGGCGUAAAGCGCACGUAGGCGGCUUUGCCAGUCAGGGGUGAAAUCCCGGGGCUCAACCUCGGAACUGCCUUUGAUACAGCAAGUCUUGAGUUCGAGAGAGGUGGGUGGAAUUCCUAGUGUAGAGGUGAAAUUCGUAGAUAUUAGGAAGAACACCGGUGGCGAAGGCGGCCCACUGGCUCGACACUGACGCUGAGGUGCGAAAGCGUGGGGAGCAAACAGG
rnacentral:rRNA from 1 species